GACGAACCGUGCAACCGUUAUUCGGAAUCACUGGGCUUAAAGCGCGUGUAGGCGGAUGGGCACGUCGGAACCUGAAAGCCCCCGGCUCAACCGGGGAGAGUGGUGCCGAACUGGACUUCUUGAGGGCGAUAGAGGAGAGUGGAAUUCCGGGUGUAGCGGUGAAAUGCGUAGAGAUCCGGAGGAACACCAGUGGCGCAGGCGGCUCUCUGGGUCGGCCCUGACGCUGAGGCGCGAAAGCGUGGGGAGCGAACGGG
rnacentral:rRNA from 1 species